rnacentral:rRNA from 1 species
GUAGUUAGGAUUUAAAGCCUAACUAGCUAUAUGCACGUAGUCGUAACUGAAAGGUUGAUCGACCACAGUGGGCCUGAAUAAAGCCCAUGACGAUUGUCACAGCAGUGAGGAAUAUUGGUCAAUAGCCUAACGGCUGAACCAGCAACUUGGAGGAAUGUAUAGCAAUAGCUACUUGCAUCAUUGUAAUAUGAUGCAAGAUCGACUAUGUCGAAUAAAAUUCUAGGUAGAAUUAUGAUAAUGACAUUGUCUGCCUAUGUGUCUUGACCAAAUUACGUGCCAGCAGUCGCGGUAAUACGUAGAAGACUAGUGUUAUUCAUGUUUAAUCGGUUUAAAGGGUACCUAGACGGUAAAUCAAGCCUAAAAGGAAAGAAAUGAAGGGACUAAUUUACUAGAGUUACUUAUGAGGGGGUAUUAAAGUACUGCUGGUGUAGAGAUGAAAUCUGUCAUACCUCUUUUCAAUAGAAAAAUAAUGGCACAGGUAUAGGCGAAAGCAUCCCCUUAUGUGAUAACUGACGUUGAGGGACGAAGGCUUUGUGUAGCGAACAGGAUUAGAUACCCCAGUAGUCAAAGCAGAAAAUGAUGAAUGUCAUAGAUUAGAUAUAUAAGUUUAUUCUAUAAAUGAAAGUGUAAGCAUUCCACCUCAAGAGUAAUUUGGCAACAUUGGAACUGAAAUCAUUAGACCGUUUCUGAAACCGUAGUGAAGUAUGUUGUUUAAUUUGAUGAUCCGCAAAAAACCUUACCACAAUUUGAAUAUUUAUAUCUUAUAUUG